GACGGACGCUGGCGGCGUGCCUAAUACAUGCAAGUUGAGCGCUGAAGGUUGGUACUUGUACCAACUGGAUGAGCAGCGAACGGGUGAGUAACGCGUGGGGAAUCUGCCUUUGAGCGGGGGACAACAUUUGGAAACGAAUGCUAAUACCGCAUAAAAACUUUAAACACAAGUUUUAAGUUUGAAAGAUGCAAUUGCAUCACUCAAAGAUGAUCCCGCGUUGUAUUAGCUAGUUGGUGAGGUAAAGGCUCACCAAGGCGAUGAUACAUAGCCGACCUGAGAGGGGGAUCGGCCACAUUGGGACUGAGACACGGCCCAAACUCCUACGGGAGGCAGCAGUAGGGAAUCUUCGGCAAUGGACGAAAGUCUGACCGAGCAACGCCGCGUGAGUGAAGAAGGUUGUCGGAUCGUAAAACUCUGUUGGUAGAGAAGAACGUUGGUGAGAGUGGAAAGCUCAUCAAGUGACGGUAACUACCCAGAAAGGGACGGCUAACUACGUG
rnacentral:rRNA from 1 species